GGCUCCCUAACCAAUCAAAGUCCCCCGAAGGGGCGGAGUUUUCCUCGGAUUGGCUCUAAGCCUCGGGGGUAAAAAUAAAGUGUUUCCAUUCCCAGCCAAUCCCUGGAAAGGCAGAAGGGCACUCCUCCAAUGGGAGCCGGGGAGCCGUCUGUAGCGGCAUAGGCCCGUGCCGUGUCCCUGCUCGCGCUGCAGCCCGUGGAAGAGUUGCGUCCAGUGUAUCCUCCAGAUCUUGCGAUAGGCGUCUCGUAACUGUGCGCGCGCGGCAGGGGCAGCGGCGGCGACGGCCGGAGGUGUACGGUCAGCGGGUUGCGGAGGAUCGUGCGGGUAGCAAAGGGAGGCCGAGUGCUCCUGCGGCUCCCAGACGGCAACCGGGAACUAACCUGUCA
rnacentral:lncRNA from 1 species